GCCUUUCACAAUCUUCCCAGGUAUCAUCCAGUUAGCCAGGUCACCAUAUUUGGAAACCUGCAUUGCUCCUAGCAUUGUUAGAUUCACAUGGCCCC